rnacentral:rRNA from 1 species
GAUGAACGCUGGCGGCGUGCCUAAUACAUGCAAGUCGAGCGAACAGACGAGGAGCUUGCUCCUCUGACGUUAGCGGCGGACGGGUGAGUAACACGUGGAUAACCUACCUAUAGGACUGGGAUAACUUCGGGAAACCGGAGCUAAUACCGGAUAAUAUAUUGAACCGCAUGGUUCAAUAGUGAAAGACGGUUUUGCUGUCACUUAUAGAUGGAUCCGCGCCGCAUUAGCUAGUUGGUAAGGUAACGGCUUACCAAGGCAACGAUGCGUAGCCGGCCUGAGAGGGUGAUCGGCCACACUGGAACUGAGACACGGUCCAGACUCCUACGGGAGGCAGCAGUAGGGAAUCUUCCGCAAUGGGCGAAAGCCUGACGGAGCAACGCCGCGUGAGUGAUGAAGGUCUUCGGAUCGUAAAACUCUGUUAUUAGGGAAGAACAAAUGUGUAAGUAACUAUGCACGUCUUGACGGUACCUAAUCAGAAAGCCACGGCUAACUACGUG